UACGUAGGGGGCAAGCGUUGUCCGGAUUUAUUGGGCGUAAAGAGCGUGUAGGCGGCCUUACAGGUCAGCUGUGAAAACUCGAGGCUCAACCUCGAGACGUCGGUUGAAACCGUAAGGCUAGAGUCCGGAAGAGGCGAGUGGAAUUCCCGGUGUAGCGGUGAAAUGCGCAGAUAUCGGGGAAGGAACACCCUGACGUAGGCGGAAGGC
rnacentral:rRNA from 1 species